rnacentral:rRNA from 1 species
UACGUAGGCAGCGAGCGUUGUUCGGAGUUACUGGGCGUAAAAGGUGUGUAGGCGGUUUUCUAAGUUUGGUGUGAAAUCUCCCGGCUCAACCGGGAGGGUGCGCCGAAAACUGGGAGACUAGAGUGCGGGAUGGGAGAGUAGAAUUCCUGGUGUAGCGGUGAAAUGCGUAGAUAUCAGGAGGAAUACCGGUGGUGUAGACGGCUCUCUGGACCGCCACUGACGCUGAGACACGAAAGCGUGGGUAGCAAACAGG